AGAGAAGAAAAAAGAGAGCAAAAUUUGGAUACACCUUAGGUAAUAUGAUACACCUUUUUGUUUGUACAUAAAAGAACGCUAGUAAGUAGAAGUGCAUGACGGCUUUAAAGCAUAUGUUGUUUGUUUUAUGAACUCUGGUUGUUUCCUUAAUUAAUUAACUAAUAGUGUUUAGUAAACACAAUAUACAUAUACAUAUGUGUGCCUGUAUGGAAGAAGCUUAUGGCUCAUUUGAGGUUGAGCUAGGAAGGCCAAAAAAGCUCUUUUUGGAAAAACACCAUUUUAG
rnacentral:misc_RNA from 1 species